rnacentral:lncRNA from 1 species
AGUGCAGCCAUCAUGCGUCUGAGCAGGCAGAGCAGUCUGCCAUCCAGGGAGCCAAGCUAUGGUUGAGUUUGGAAAAACUAAGAAGCUUUGCAGCUCCUAGGCCAUACUCCUCUACUACUCCAUCCCCUUUUGCCCAGGCAGUCUCCUCUGCUGUGAAAAAAGAGCCAUUUUUCAUCCCUGAGAACAAAAUCACCUACUUCUACUAAGUCUCCACACACGACUCCUAGCAGAAGUCCUUCAUCAGCCGUGCAAUAUAAAGGACUCUCCAAACUUCAGGAAUGUGAAAAUAUGGAGAUGAACAGCGACGGUCACACUCAGCAAGGAGACGAUGAAGCACAAUCUUUUAAUAAUGAGAUUGUUCAAGUGGACACAGAAAACCACCCAUAGUCCUUUAGGCUGCAUUAGCCACCACAGAGGACCAAAAUCUCUUUGUUCUUCCAUGGCACACAAGAGGAAAUUCCUUUUGAUCUCUUUUAUAAUUUGUCACCUGUGUACAAAAUUGAUGUAUUUUUGAAAAAUUUACAGAUGAGAAAAGAUUUUUUUAGUAAUACACCUUUGGCUCAGUUGCAAUUGAAAUGCAUCACUACUUUUUUAAUGCAUUACUGUUCUAUGGUUAGAAAUUAAAACAGUUCUGUAAGUUAUUAGACUUUUUUCUCCUAAUUUGAAAUUGUACAAUCUAAAUUAUACUGGAAGUCCAGGACUUCUGGUAAAGAUUAUUCUGCAGAUCUAUAUUUAAGUAUUAAAGAGUUUGGAUUAAUAUGUGAAAAUACACUGACGUGUGCUGUACCCCUGUUUCUGUUGUAAGACAGUGUUUUUUUAAUGAAUAAAGCUUUUAUGAACUAAUUUGAUUGUGAUUUA